GAAGUACUCCCUCCGUCUGAAAAUACAUGUCAUCAAAAUGGAUAAAAAAGAAUGUAUCUAGAACUAAAAUACGUCUAAAUACAUUCACUUUUGUUCAUUUUGAUGACAAGUAUUUCCAAAUGGAGGGAGUAGUUG
rfam:Triticum aestivum genome assembly, contig: Triticum_aestivum_CS42_TGACv1_scaffold_112147_2AS